GAUGAACGCUGGCGGCGUGCCUAAUACAUGCAAGUCGAACGCAUUGAGAGAAGUGCUUGCACUUUUCAAUUUGAGUGGCGAACGGGUGAGUAACACGUGGGCAACCUACCUGAUAGCGGGGGAUAACGAGUGGAAACAUUCGCUAAUACCGCAUAACAAUAGAGAAGGCAUCUUCUUUAUUUAAAAGGCGCUUUCAAGCGUCAAUAUCAGAUGGGCCCGCGGUGCAUUAGUUAGUUGGUGGGGUGAAGGCCUACCAAGACGAUGAGACAUAGCCGAGUUGAGAGACUGAUCGGCCACAUUGGGACUGAGACACGGCCCAAACUCCUACGGGAGGCUGCAGUAGGGAAUCUUCCACAAUGGACGAAAGUCUGAUGGAGCAACGCCGCGUGUGUGAUGAAGGCUUUCGGGUCGUAAAGCACUGUUGUAUGGGAAGAAAUGCUAGGCUAGGAAAUGAGCUUAGUUUGACGGUACCAUACCAGAAAGGGACGGCUAAAUACGUGCCAGCCGCCGCCGUAA
rnacentral:rRNA from 1 species